rnacentral:lncRNA from 1 species
UGUGCUCACUUUACAGAUGAGAAAAUGAAGGCUAGGAGGGCUCAUGUGACUUGUCCAAGGUCAGCUAGCCAGCAAGCAGUGGCACUGAGAUUUAACCCAGUCCCCUCAACUUCAAGAUCCACACUCAUCCCUUGAGACCACGGCAUCUUCACAUCUGCCACUAAGUACCUGGCAAAGUUGUUGGCUGAUUGGCUGAUUUAAAAAAGCAAAGCAGGAACCGCAGAAUCUCUCUCCCAGAUGGAAAUGGAAGUUGUUGCUCUUGACCAAAGGAGUCUGUGGAUCCUGUGUACUGUCCAGUAAGCUGUUCCUGAUAUGGAGAGCACCAUACUUUUGGCAACUUCUUUCAGGCUUGGCUACCAAAGGCUUUGCACAUCUCUCCUGGCGCUCUUAGAUGGAGAUGAGGAAACUGUCACCUCAGGAGGCAAAGUGACU